UACAAGAAAGCUGCAAAAAUAAUACCAAGAGAAGUUGACCACCGACCUGACAUCAUGGGAGCUCUGCUGACCCACUUCCUAGUGAAACUGAUGAAAAUUGUUUUAAGACAAGAAAACAAUAACAAUUUAAAGCCUACGGAAUUAGUCCUAAGAGAAAAGAGCAAAUAAAGAAGUAUCUAUUCUAGGAAAAAAUGGUAAGAAAUGCAGGAAUCUGUGGUGUUUCAACAAAGACCUCUUCUCCCUGUGCCUUCCUAGUUCUGCAAAGCAGAGACCCCACUCUGCCUUGAAACAGGAAACGCUCGCCCUCCUCUCCCCAGGCUCCCAGAGGGAGGGGCAGAUGUCACCAGUUCUCAUUCUGCCUGUUGUUACCUGAUACUGAGGCUAAGUCCUGCGUGAAGUGGCUGAUAGAUGGAGGAUUCUUUCUUUCAAACAGCUCCCCUCAUGGAACAGAGGCUCUUCCUUGGGCUGUUUUGAUGUCCAUCUGAUUUCCUCCAUGGACUGUUGGAGUUCUGUCUAUCUGUUGUCUGCUUUGAUGAAGCACUGAAGAAAUGUGUUGAGGACAGAGUGUGACAGAGAGACAGUCAAGGUCAGAGGAGAGAAAAAUCAUGGGAGUCCAAAGGCCGCCAGCUGGCUCAGCCAUGUCCCAGGCCUGGAGGAAGAUGCUGGCACAGGUGGAGGCUGAGCCCAGGGAUAGAUGUGUCAUUUCUGUGUCAUCCUGCUGCUGUUCCUUACUCGCCAUCAGCUACCUUCCUGCUGUUGCUUCACAGUGAGGAACAUUUUCCCAACACGAAGUAAGUGCUCUAGUAGAUUGAUUUUCCUUUCCUUGUGAUUAAACAUUUGAUAAUGAAAUUUUAAGGAAGAAAACAUUGUGCUAAGUGCAAGAAGGCAGACACCAAAAAAUACAUGCUGCUUCAGUGCCUAAACUGAAGUUAGAGAUAGGGUUAUUCCCCCACAGCUCAGGGCACAGCCUCCAGGGGAGCAUCUGUCAUGCACAUGUCCCCUCCUGGGGCCUACAAAGAGACAUUGACAAGGGGAGCCAUCGUUUGAAAGUAGGCAUGCAUAACCAGUAGUUAUUAUUUUAUUCUGGGCAUAUUAAUAUGCUUUUUAUAUGCAUCAACUCAUGUCAUUCUCUGGUGGCGACCAUUGUCCCCAUUUUACUAAUGGAGAAACUGAGGGUUAGAGAGGCUAAAUAAUUAAGUAACCAGAGUUUAAAGUCAUACAAGUAAUAAUUAGCGAAGCUAGUGUUCACAAGCAAGGAGUCUAGCUCUAGAGCCCAGGCCAUAGGAGAGGCCAUUGCCUGCUGGGUUUUUGUGGUUUGUUUUUCUUUUUAACCAUUUAAAAUUUUAUUUAUGUAUUUAUUUUACAAUAUCAUAUUUCUAAAAUUGAAGUAUAGUUGAUGAACAAUAUUGUAUGUUACAGGUAUACAAUACAGUGAUUCACAAAUUUUUAAAGGUUAUACUUUAUUUAUACUUAUUGCCAUUGCCUGCUGUUAACCAAAGAGGCGGCCGUGUUGAGAACAGAAAUGCCACCUGCUCCCACCCGUACAGAGAUACCGCUACCAUUAGUCUUUGUAUUGUCUUCAUUGCCUUAUCUAAGAAUGUCACAUAGUUGGAAUCAUAUAGUAUGUAAUUUUCAGAUUGGCUUCUUUCACUCAGUUAUAUGUAUUUAAGGUUCCUCCAUGUCUUUUCAUGGUUUGAUACCUCAUUUCUUUUUAGCACUGAAUAAUAUUCCAUUAUCUGGAUGUACCACAGUUUAUCCAUUCACCUACUGAAGGGUAUCUUGGUUGCUUCCAAGUUUUGGCAAUUAUGAAAGCUGCUAUAAAAAUUUCUGUGUAGGUUUUUGCAUGGACAUAGUUUUCAACUCCUUUGGGUAAAUACCAAGGAGCACAAUUGCUGGAUGGUAUAGCAAGGGUAUGGUUAGUUUUGUAAGAAACCGGCAAACUAUCUUUCAGGGUGUCGGUACCAUUCUGCAUUUUCACCAGCAACAUAUGAGAAUUACUAUUUCUCCACCUCCUCACCAGCAUUUGGAGUUGUCGGUGUUCUAGAUUUUGGCCACUCUUAUAGGUGUGUAGUGGUAUCUCACUGUUGUUUUAAUUUGCAUUUCCCCCAAUAUGUGAUGUGGAGCAUUUUUUCAUAUGCUUAUUUGGCAUCUGUAUGUCUUCUUUGGUGAGAUGUCUGCUAAGAUUUUAGGCCCUUUUCCCCCAUCUUUGGCUCUUUUAAAAAUCAGAUUGUUGAUAUUCUUGCUGUUAGAUUUUAAGUUUUCUUUUUAUAUUUUGAAUAACAGUUCUUUAUCAGACAUGCCUUUGGUAAAUAUUUUCUCCUAGGCUUCUCUUCUCAUUCUCUUGAUACUGUCUUUCAUUGAGCAGAAGUGUUUAAUUUUAACGAAGUCCAGCUUAUCAAUUAUUUCUCUCAUAGAUGUGCCUUUACUGUUGUGUCUAAAAAGUGAUCGCCAAAUCCAAGUUCACUUAAAUUUUCUCUGAUUUUAUCUUCCAGGGGUUUUAUAGUUUUGUAUUUUACAUUUAAGUCUGUGAUCCAGUUUGAGUUAAUUUUUGUGAAAAAUGUAAGGUCUGUGUCUAAUUAAUAUUUGGCAUGAGUGUGUCCAGUUGUUCCAGCACCGUCUGUUAAAGAGACUAUUUUUGCUCCAUUGUAUUAUCUUUGUUCCCUUGUUGAAGAUUAGCUGACUAUAUUUACGGGGCUCUGUUUCUGGGCUCUCUACUCUGUUCCAUUGAUCUAUUUGUAUUCUUUUUUGCCAAUACCACAUUGUCUUGAUUACUGGAACUUUAUAGUAAAUCUUGAGGUCAAGUAGCAUCAGUCCCCUGAUUUUGUUCUUUUUCAUUAUUAUGUUGACUAUUCUCAGCCUUUCGCCUCUUCAUAUGAACUUUAGAAUCAGUUAGCUUAUAUUCAUAAAAUAAUUUUCUGGUACUUUGGUUGGGAUUCCAUUGAACCUGUUGAUCAAGUUGGGAUUGGUUUUGUUCUGGAGAGGACUUAUACCUAGUAGGGGGUAGGAGAAGGAAGAUCUAUUUUGGAGAUAAAGGGAUGGUAAAUAAGUUAAUAAAAAUCAGCUACAGACAGAUGAGAGGAUUUUAGCCUAGACUGCGUAUUAGAUAAUAUUGUGCAUUUGUGUUCAAUUUCUAAGUGUAAUAGUGGUAUUUUGAUCAUGUAGAAUUCCCUUGUUCACAGGAGAUAAAUACUGAAAUAUUUAGGGGUAAAGUAUCACAAUGCUUACAAGUUACUUUCACAUGGCUUAGCAGUUUGUGUAUGUGUGUGUGUCUAUGUUUGUAUGUCUGCAUGUCUAGAGAGAGACAGGAAACAAAUGUGGCUAAAUGUUCUUAAUUGGUGACUCUAGGUAAAGGAUAUGUCUGUAUUCUUUAAACUUUUCUGGUUUUCACGUUUGAAAACAAAAAGUUGGAAAAAUAUCUGUAUAUGAUUCUGAUAUUCGAUCAAUUGUAUUCAGAAUGCAAUGCAAGAUUUUUUACCAUUUAUAUCAUUUUGUUUUAAAAUGUUGUAGUGACUUUGGAGAAGAUAUAAAUGUAAAAAAAAACACUGUAUGAAGGGGAAAAUAUAUUCUCUGAAGUUUUGGUAUUAAAAAGCAAGAUGCAUUCUACUGGAAAGAUGUGAACAGGGUGGGGUGCUUUGCAGGGUGUGACCGUGUACAUCUGUCUCUUUGCUUGUUUAUCUUUGUCUUUCUUGACUAAACUUUAAUAUCCAUGGACCAAGGAUUAUUACUAUUUGGUUUCUCAUUGAAUAUCCAGCACUUAGCAUGAUGCCUGGCACACAAUAGGUUCCUGUACUAGUUGGGUAACAUUCACUGCCUUAAAAAGUAACUUCCAAAUAGCAGUAGUUUAGCACAAUAGAAGUUUAUUUUGUCAUCACCUAGCUGAUCAAUGCAGGUGUUUCUGGCAGACAGCUUCCUUCUAUGAAGUGAUUUUAGGGACUGAGACUCCUUUCAUGUUUUGGUUUCACCAUUCCCGGGGGGACUUGUUAUCCUCAGCAUUUCAUCAGCAAAGGGGGAAAGAAUGUGAAGAAACAUAUCUGCUUCCUAAAAAUCCUUGUCUGAAAAAUGACACAUCUCAUUUCCACUCACAUUUCAUUGGUGAAAACUAAACAAAUGACCACACUGAGAAACAAGGAGGUGGGGAUGGGUGGUGGGGGGCAGAGUAUCUGGAAAACCAGUCCCUGGCCUGACAGCCGCUUCCUAAGGGUAAUUUCAUAAUACAGAAAGGAGGCAGACUGUAGUGGACAGCUAGCCAUCUCUACCACACUGUUUAAAUAUUUAAUGAAUGAAUGAAUAGAGUUUCUAGGACUGCUUUAUUCUUUGCAAAGGUAAUGCUAUGUAAAUCAUGGGAUGUGGAGGAGCCCAGAUAUAGUCCAUGCAACUGCUGGUGGUUCUGUUAACUUUAAAGCUGUUCAGCAAAAUGCAGUAGCAAGGCCUGGCGUACCAUCCUGCCCCAAACAACUGCAAAAUCAGAUUGACAAAAUGUAUAAAACAACAGUUUUCAGACAUUGGACAUCAAGCAGUAUGGGAUAGUGAUCCUUGAGAGAGGUGCACCCUAUGACUCCCCCAGUUUGCUGCCUGGAAAGAGUUUCCAGGUCAGGACCCAGGGAGGGAGAAUUCAGGCAGAGCCUGCUAAUCUUUUUAAAUUGCAGAGACAGAGUCCAGGCAGACUACAGUGACUAGAGUUCACAGGGCAAAGUCCAGAGGUGAGAGACUCGGACAGAGUGACUGCUCUAGGAAACUGAGCAGCUGAAUACUAAUCAGCGAAUAUGAGGAAGGAAACCAUCCAAGUCUGGGAAAGAACUUCCUGAAGAGAGCAGAGGAAAAAAUUCUCAAAGCUCAUACAGCGACAAGAAUAGUUCAAGUUUAUGCCAGACAGAGUGGAAAAUCUUAAAAUUCCUCGCUCACUGAGUACUGGGGGAAAAUUAGCCCUGGACUAAAGGUGACUCUAGUCUCAUAUAAUGAAGCCAAAGAACAAGCCUCAAAAAGAUUUGACUGUUUAUAAAUCAUUUAACUGCAUUUCCAGAACAAAGCUCACAAAUAUUUAUAAGAAUACACAAAUAUCCAGCACCCAACAAGGUAAAGUUUACAGUGUCUGGCAUUUGAUUCAAAAUUACAAAAAGAAUUUUUAAAAGUGUUUAAAAAAAGGUAAGUAAAUUAAAAAAGAAAGUAAAUUUUUUUAAAUUACAAAAAAGAAAAAGAACCAGGAAAAUACAACCCAUAAUGAGGGCAACAGUCAGUCAAUAGAAUCAGGCUCAGAAAUGCCACAGAUCAUAGAGUUAGUAGACAGGGAUAUUAAAAAAGAUACUAUUCCAUAUGUUUAAGAAGACAGAGGAAAGACUGAGCAUGUUAAGUCAAGAUAGGGAAGAUACAAAAAGACAUUAAAAUUCUAGAUGCAAACUACAUUGUCUAAGGUGAAAAAUAUAUUGCAUGAGGUGAGCAGCAGAUGAGACACUGAAGAAGAAAAGAUUAGUGAGUGUGAAGGCACAGCAAUAGAAACUAUUUAAAAUAAAACGCAAAUAGAAAAGAAAAUCCAGUAUGAGGGAAGCUGUAGUAUCACUUUAAGCUAUAUGUUAUUGGAGUUCCUGAAGAAGGGUGUGUGGGACAGGAAAAACUACUUGAAGAAACAAUGACUGAAAACUUCAAAUUAGAUAAAAGCUAUAAAACCAUAGAUCAGAGAAACUCAAUGAACCCCAAGUACAAGAAAUAUGAAUAAAAUGAUACCAAAUAGCAUGAUAAAUUGCUUUAAACCAGUGAUAUAAAAUGACUGGCCAUCCAGUCUGUCCCAUAACCUUCCUUUUGGACAGGAACUGACUGAACUACAGACACAGCAUCCCUGGAACUUUCCCAGAGUAUGAAGUUUAGUGUCUGCUCCAUUCCAGACUCUUUAAAUGAAUCUGAUCAGCCCUAAAAUGUGAGAUCCAGCCUCAGGCAGUAUCAGCUGUCACCAGCUUUUAUUUAGAUGGCCUGUCAUUUACUGUCCAGAAUUGUUCCAUUUGUUUUCUUUGCCUGCCUGGCUUGAUGAUCUCCUUGCAUUUUAAACUAUCCCCACAUCCUUUUCUGUUGCACAAUCCAUUUGGACAGGAUUUUCUGCCUCUGGUUUUCAGCACUCUCUCUGGACCUGAUUUGGUAAAUGUCCUCUCCCCUAGCCCUUAGACCUGUACCAGAUAGGCCAUCCACCAUUUCUACCAGCUUUUCUGUGAAAAAUUUCCAGAAAAUUUUAAGGGAGUAAGUCUUAAAAGUUCUCAUCGCAAGAGAAAAAAAUUGUAAGUAUGUGAAAUGAUGGAUGUUAACUAAACUUAUUCUGGUGAUCAUUUUGUAAUGUAUACAUACACCAAAUCAUUAUGUUGUACGCCUAAAACAAAUACAAUGUUAUACAUCAAUUACACCUCAAUUUUUUAAAAUUCCAGAAAUAAUCUUUCUAACCAUGUGGCCAAAGUCUAGGCAGACAAUGUUGAGAUCCACCUGGGUGCUAGGAAAAUUUCAUCAAUUUGAAAGUUGAGAAUUUCAAUAGCAUUUGGUGUAUAAAUUUGAAGCCUGAAUUGAAUCUGUCCUCACAUCAAAUAUGCCUUGUGAGAAGUACCUGUGUGCUUGCUGCCUCAAUCACAACUGAGCAAUAACUGCUAGUGCUAUUGGCACAAAUAAUAACUCUGCAAUGGGCACUUUUUGUAAAUAAAGUUGAAGAAAGUGUUUUUGGAUACCUUUUGUACUGCUGAAAAAACUGAUUUUUUAGAAUUGCUGGCUUCUACAGUUGUCAUUAAAAAGUUAGCCUUCUGGCGGGGAGGGUAUAGCUCAAGUGGUAGAGAACAUACUUAGCAUGUAUGAGGUCCUGGGUUCAAUCUCCAGUACCUCCUCCAAACACAAAUAAAUAAAUAAACCUAAUUUACCUCCCCCCUCCAAAAAAAUAAAAAAUAAAAAGCUAGCCUUCUAUAUGCAUGGAUUUCUAAUCAUCUUGCUCUUUGUUAAAAACACUUGGACACACUUCUGCUGUGUAAACAAUGCUUACAUGUCCAUAUAGACAUAUGUGGCUUGUCUUCAACCUUAAGAUAAACCAGAAUGGGUGGUACAACUUUGGUUGUCCCAGGGGAGGCUAAGACCAAAUCAGUUCUGGAACAUAGCUUUACUUUUGUGAACAUCUGUACCCACAGUAAGAUGACGGGGAAGUAAUGAGAAAAUAAAGAUGAAAAUACCCAGUCUUAGUCUCAGUUCACAAUCUAGAAGCAAGACAAAAGUCAAACAAAGUAGAAUGAGAUAAAUUGUAAACUAAUUAUAAGCGCUGUGCUGAGGGCUUGAAGAAAAGGACUUAUUUGUGGCAGGAAUUAGUUUCCAGUAAAUAAGACGGAGUGAAAAGGAAUGUAGGAAAUCAGAGAAAAUAGCCUGGGGCUUCAACCAGUUGUUGAAUGUUGAGCUUUGGAACCCUUGUCAUGCUGCAGCUAAAUCUCCAUGGUUCAUUGCUUAGCAAACAGAUCUCAGUGUCUUGGUGUCCCCUGUGACCUAUGGAGACCAUGGGACAGGGCACAGAAAAAAAAUGCUUCCUGUUAAUCUACAAGAUGAGAUCAGCCCCACUUUAUCAUUUACACAUUCAGGCCACCUUUCAGUUAACCCAGGCUGCAUGCAAACCCACUACACAUCUCAGCACUGUGUAGGAGACAAAAGAAUAAAGAAGGCAAGAUUUUCAAGAAUUUAUAACCUGCUAGAGAAUAAUAAAGCAAGUAUAUAAAUACCUGAGUUACAAGAUAAAACAAGAUAUGUUUUACUAGGAAGGUACAAAAUUCUGAGCAAUUUAUAGGAGGGAAACAUCAUUACCAAGAAUCAAGCCUUAGCAGAAAGGGUACAGCUCAGUGGUAGAGUGCGAGCUUAGCAUGCACAAGGUCCUGAGUUCAAUCCCCAGCACCUCCAUUAAAAUAAAUAAAUAAAUAAAAAUUAAAAAUAUAUUAACUAAAAAGUAAAAAAAAAUUUUUUUAAAAGAGUCAAGUCUCACUGAUUCAAACUACAAUUUCAGAUUUAUGUUCUUAGGGAAAAAAAUGUUUGGCAAAAUAUACUAUAUGUGGACAAAAUGUCUUUGAUGCCUGACAUGUAGAGAAAAGACCCAGUACUGGUAAUAGUAACACUGCACCAGUAUGUAAGUGCCAAGAGAAGAGAAACUUGUCUGUUUUGUUCAUUGAUGUAAUCCUUUUUGCCAUGAAGAUCCCUGGUACACAAGAGAUGCUCACUAAAUGUUAAAGUGAAUGAACAGAAUUGGAAGAAAAGGAGCUGAGAAAACUGCCUCCUUUCUAGUUGUAACUCCAUGAAGCUACUUGUCUUGGACCUUGGAGGAAGACUGGGUAAGCAUGCCACAUUAUUUGCAUGUGGGGUUCUGUUCCUUGUAAUUUUGACAAAACAAAACAAUGACCAAUGUAUUAAAUGAGAAAUACAAUUGUAUUGUAUGCAAUGGCCAUAGAGUAAUUGGUAGCUUUGGUCUUGACCUCUAGUGGUUAGUACUCUUAUCACCAACUCAUCAGCGAGUAGGGGAAGCUUACAUAGCAUGUUUCAGAAGGUAUAGGCCUUGCCAUGGGAUUGGAGAAGUGCCCUCCAAUCCUGGACUAUGUGCCCAGGUCACCAUCACAGGCCUUUUGUAAUGAUGUCAGUUUUCUGAUAAGCGAUUGGAACCCAUCAAGCCUCUUAGACAUUGGAAAAUACGUGAGCCUCCCCAGUCCUUUAUUCUCACUAACCCUUUGUAGAUUCAUAGAUGAGAUGUUAGUCUGUGACAGAUAAUCUCUAUUACCUCACUUGUAUAUUUAGGUCUCUAAUUAUGGAUUCAUUCAUUCAACAGAUACUGCCUUAACACCAGUACACAGGUACAGUCCCUGACUUCAAGGAGGCCGUGGUUUAAUGAGGGGUCAGACAAGUAAAUGAAUAAUUACAAUGCGUUAUGACAAGUGCAAUAAUAGAAAUAUAUUUAGGGUUUAAGGCUGUAAAAAAAUUUCUUUCAUUUACUUAUAAAUACAGAAAUUGAUUUAUUAGAAUUGCUGAUAAACUGAGGCCAAAUACAGGGAAGUAUUUAUAGGCCAUGAAUUAAGAAAUUAAUACCUUGAGUUUAAUCCCUGUAUUGUUGAAUAUAGGAAUUGUGACAUGUUUCCUUGCUGGAACUUAUUUAGCAUUUACAGAUAUAGAUUUAGUUUUUAAUUGUAUUUCACUGGAAAGUUUGGUGUAAAUGUAAGGUCUAAUUUUAAGUCUUUAUAUCUGUACUAAACCAUCAUGCUCUUGGACUGUGUUACUAUCACAUGGGAUUCCCAGGUGCAGGUGGUACCGCUGCAUGUGAACCUGAUUCUUCCUCGCUAAGAUGAUUC